rnacentral:lncRNA from 1 species
CGUUUUCCUCUCUAUCUGCCUCCUUCAUUUAGACAGGAGUUGCCAGUGGGACCUGUGCCCCUGAUCCCAGCCUCUAAGAAUCACAUAUCAUCUCUCUUGCUUAAAAAGAGAAAUCCAGGGCUGACUCCCACCCAGACCCGUGGCAACCAUACCAUGUGGUUGCUGGCAGGAAAUCUCAGUCGGCAGGGCUGCACCUGCUGUGGGUGCUGUGGCCAGGCCGCUCACCGCACCCCUGCUGCUUGAUCUCUCUUGCUUCCUUUGUACAGCAUUGUGUCAAGCCUAAACUUCCAGUGGUGUUUUUUGAGGAAGGUCACAAGGUCCCUUUGGAAAGGAGAUUGGAGGACAGCCUAAUGAAACUUCAAGAAGCACCAUUUCAAAUACGGAGUGAGCUUCCAGGUGGCCUUCGGCUGCCCCCUUUAAGAAAUGUCCCCAUCUAAAGAAUGGCACACUCAGCAAAAGGAAAUGAAGAUCUUCCAAAGCUACUGAGAAGCCACCAGAAAUUUACAUGAUGAUCUUGAGGCUGGAACCUUUCAAAAGGCCAGAGCUGCAGUCUAGCGCUGGGCAGGACAGCUCCAGUGUCAUUUCUGCAAUGACAGGGGGUGUGCCCCCACUCCCAGGAAUUCACACGGGGUCCAGUAGCCUCCCUGCUACAGCAUCUGGGGGGCUUGACCACAGGAAACUGUCCCAGGCGAGAGGGCCUCAUGUCAGCACCUGCACAUCUCUGGCCACCCGCCUGCUUCACUCAAGCACAGCCUGGCACUGCAUCUUCUUACGGACCUCUGGUUUAUUGAGAGGCCACUCAAAGUCAUUUGCAGCUGAUCUUCCACACCUGCCAUUAAGCAGAUAAUUAGAAGAAGGGAAGCCUGGACCAAGGGCGUUCUACUCACCUCUUCCACCUGUGUGUGUGCUUCUAUGAGGCGCCUCAACGUGGGUCCAGUCUGCAGAGGAAUUCUGACUCUGGCUCACAGGUUGUACCACUCCACCACUGUGGGCGUGCCUCCUGGGGACCACUGUUUUCAUAAAGUAUAGAGUGAAUUCCGGGUGAUUCCUGGAGUCACAGAAAGCCGCGAUGACCAAGUCAUGGCUCCCAGGGCUGGGUGUGUUCAUGCCCCUGCACAGACCUGGUGUGAGGAGGGACAAGGGGCCGGGCACAGCAAUGCCCUCUAGGUAGAGGCCCUCUGAAUGAGGACCUCAAGGCAGCAUGAGUCACAGGUGCCUGGGCAGGUGCAGCUGCAGGAUCACCUCCAAGGUCCAGUAGAUACAGAACGGGAGGAAGCAAGUUCUUCCUGCUCCUUUCCUGGAUGAGCCUGAUUUUGGCAUGUGGCAGAUUUAUGAACUCUUCCGUGGAUUAUGGUGUGCCAGGGGAUGGACCAAUGUUACCAUCUGCCUAAGGGUUCUCCUUCCAUCUUAGUUUACCUUGAACGAAGUACAAAUAAAACCUUACGUUUGUAUGAUGCUUUAUGGUUUAUACGGUAUUUCUGC